rnacentral:rRNA from 1 species
UACGUAGGGAGCAAGCGUUGUCCGGAAUCAUUGGGCGUAAAGCGCGCGUAGGUGGCCCCAUAAGUCCGCUGUGAAAGUCAAAGGCUCAACCUUUGAAAGCCGGUGGAUACUGUGGGACUAGAGUACGGAAGAGGCGAGUGGAAUUCCUGGUGUAGCGGUGGAAUGCGCAGAUAUCAGGAGGAACACCAAUAGCGAAGGCAGCUCGCUGGGACGUUACUGACACUGAGGUGCGAAAGCGUGGGGAGCAAACAGG